rnacentral:rRNA from 1 species
UACGGAGGGUCCAAGCGUUAUCCGGAAUCAUUGGGUUUAAAGGGUCCGUAGGCGGGCCAGUAAGUCAGUGGUGAAAUCUCCCGGCUCAACCGGGAAAUUGCCAUUGAUACUGCUGGUCUUGAAUUACCAGGAAGUAACUAGAAUAUGUAGUGUAGCGGUGAAAUGCUUAGAGAUUACAUGGAAUACCAAUUGCGAAGGCA